CCUACGGGUGGCAGCAGUGGGGAAUAUUGGGCAAUGGGCGCAAGCCUGACCCAGCAACGCCGCGUGAAGGAAGAAGGCUUUCGGGUUGUAAACUUCUUUUGUCAGGGACGAAGCAAGUGCCGGUACCUGACGAAUAAGCCACGGCUAACUACGUGCCAGCAGCCGCGGUAAUACGUCGGUGGCAAGCGUUAUCCGGAUUUAUUGGGUGUAAAGGGCGUGUAGACGGGAAUGCAAGCCAGGAGUGAAAGCCCGGGGCCCAACCCCGGGACUGUUUUUGGAACUGCAUUGCUGGAGUACAGGAGAGGCAGGCGGAAUUCCUAGUGUAGCGGUGAAAUGCGUAGAUAUUAGGAGGAACACCGGUGGCGAAGGCGGCCUGCUGGACUGUGACUGACGUUGAGGCCCGAAGGCGUGGGGAGCAAACAGGAUUAGAUACCCGGGUAGUC
rnacentral:rRNA from 1 species